rnacentral:rRNA from 1 species
UACGUAGGGCGCAAGCGUUGUCCGGAAUUAUUGGGCGUAAAGAGCUCGUAGGCGGUUUGUCGCGUCUGCUGUGAAAACCUAAGGCUCAACCUUGGGCUUGCAGUGGGUACGGGCAGACUAGAGUGCGGUAGGGGUGACCGGAAUUCCUGGUAUAGCGGUGGAAUGCGCAGAUAUCAGGAGGAACACCGAUGGCGAAGGCAGGUCACUGGGCCGCAACUGACGCUGAGGAGCGAAAGCAUGGGGAGCGAACAGG